GAGUUUGAUCUUGGCUCAGGACGAACGCUGGCGGCGUGCUUAACACAUGCAAGUCGAACGAGAAUCUACUGAAAGAGUUUUCGGACAAUGGAAGUAGAGGAAAGUGGCGGACGGGUGAGUAACGCGUGAGGAACCUGCCUUGAAGAGGGGACAACAGUUGGAAACGACUGCUAAUACCGCAUGAUGCGUAAGGGUCGCAUGAUUCUUAUGCCAAAGAUUUAUCGCUUCAAGAUGGCCUCGCGUCUGAUUAGCUAGUUGGCGGGGUAACGGCCCACCAAGGCGACGAUCAGUAGCCGGACUGAGAGGUUGAACGGCCACAUUGGGGCUGAGAUACGGCCCAGACUCCUACGGGAGGCAGCAGUGGGGAAUAUUGGGCAAUGGGCGCAAGCCUGACCCAGCAACGCCGCGUGAAGGAGAAGGCUUUCGGUAUGUAAACUUCUAUCAGCAGGGAAGAAAAUGACGGUACCUGACUAAGAAGCCCGGCUAACUACGUGGCAGCAGCCGCAGUAAU
rnacentral:rRNA from 1 species